AUGCAGCCGUCCUGUGCUCAGCAUCCUGCAGUUGACACUCGCAAUUGGACAAUUGAGAGCACGGCCGACAACACUCACCGGACGAACAACUGCAGCUACACCGUGUGGCCGGGCAUCCUCACCAACGCGGCCGCCGCGCAGCCGCCCACCAUCGAUUUCGUGCUCUCCCCGGGCCAGUCUCGUGCACCGUAUCCGUCACGAAUGGCUGGUACGGCCGCAUAUGCGGACGCGCCACCGACAACUGCGGCUCUGGCGCCGUCGAGUGCCCCGCCCGCGGCGCCGCACCACCGGAUUAAUGCAAACUUCCGGCGGGGCCGACGACUUCUACAACGUGAGCCGGACGGCUACAACAUGCCGAUGAUGGUCGCGCCGCCGAACGCAAACUGCGAGCAAACAGGCUACCCCGCCGACCUGAACGGGGCGUGCCCGCUGGAUCUCCGAGUCGUCGUGGCCGACGUGAAGGUGGCGUGCUUGGACCUGGAGCGCAUGCGAGACGUUUGGGGUGGAGGCGUACUGCUGCAGCAGCGCCCACGACACGCCGGCGACAGUCGCUCCACGGCCUCCUGCGGCUCUUCAAGGCCCGCGUGCCCGCGCGCCUACAGCUACACCUGUGAGGAUGCGAGCGUGAGAAGAAGUGGAAAGAAGUGGAAUACGCUUAUACGCGAGGAAGAGCUACCUAUUUAUAGCGUACAAAAGGAUGGACAAAAGGAAACGAAAUUAAGCACGAAUACUGCAACAGCGGCACGCCUAGAUUGGCCCAUGUAA
rnacentral:rRNA from 1 species